CACAGGUGGACUGGUAGAGCAUACCAAGGCGCUUGAGAGAACGAUGUUGAAGGAACUAGGCAAAUUGCUCUCGUAACUUCGGAAGAAGAGAGACCUCGCUUUGGGCAACCAUCGCGAGGUGGCACAGACCAGGGGGUAGCAACUGUUUACUAAAAACACAGGGCUCUGCGAACUCGUAAGAGGACGUAUAGGGUCUGACGCCUGCCCGGUGCUAAGGUUAAGGAGAGAAGUGCAAGCUUUGAACCGAAGCCCCAGUAAACGGCGGCCGUAACGAUAACGGUCCUAAGGUAGCGAAAUUCCUUGUCGGGUAAGUUCCGACCUGCACGAGGGCGUAAUGACUUCCCCGCUGUCUCCAACAUCGACUCAGUGAAAUUGAACUCUCCGUGAAGAUGCGGAGUACCCGUGGCUAGACGGAAAGACCCCGUGCACCUUUACUACAACUUUGCAGUGGCAUUAGAGGAUGGAUGUGUAGGAUAGGCGGGAGCCUUUGAAGCGCCGGCGCUAGCCGGUGUGGAGGCAACCUUGAAAUACCGCCCUUCUGUACUUUGAUGUCUAACCGCGACCCGUUAUCCGGGUCCGGGACCCUGCAUGGUGGGUAGUUUGACUGGGGCGGUCGCCUCCCAAAGAGUAACGGAGGCGCGCGAUGGUAGGCUCAAGCUGGUCGGAAAUCAGCUGUUGAGUGUAAUGGCACAAGCCUGCCUGACUGCGAGAGCGACAGUUCGAGCAGAGACGAAAGUCGGUCAUAGUGAUCCGGUGGUCCCGCGUGGAAGGGCCAUCGCUCAACGAAUAAAAGGUACGCCGGGGAUAACAGGCUGAUGACCCCCAAGAGUCCAUAUCGACGGGCUCGUUUGGCACCUCGAUGUCGGCUCAUCACAUCCUGGGGCUGGAGCAGGUCCCAAGGGUAUGGCUGUUCGCCAUUUAAAGUGGUACGUGAGCUGGGUUUAGAACGUCGUGAGACAGUUCGGUCCCUAUCUACCAUGGGUGUCGGAGAAUUGAGAGGAGCUGUCCCUAGUACGAGAGGACCGGGAUGCACGCACCUCUGGUGUACCGGUUGUCGCGCCAGCGGCAUCGCCGGGUAGCUAAGUGCGGACGGGAUAACCGCUGAAAGCAUCUAAGCGGGAAGCCUCCCUCAAAACAAGUUCUCCCCCGAGAGCCGUGGAAGACCACCACGUUGAUAGGCCAGGUGUGGAAGCGCAGUGAUGUGUGAAGCUAACUGGUACUAAUCGCUCGAGCGC
rnacentral:rRNA from 1 species